GUUUACGGCCACACCACCCUGAACGUGCCCGAUCUCGUCCGAUCUCAGAAGCUGAGGAGGGUCGGGCCUGGUUAGUACUUGGAUGGGGGACAUUCCCUGGGUUGUGCUGUCGCAGACA
ensembl:rRNA 5S_rRNA 5S ribosomal RNA